GACGAACGCUGGCGGCGUGCCUAAUACAUGCAAGUAGAACGCUGAAGGAGGAGCUUGCUCUUCUGGAUGAGUUGCGAACGGGUGAGUAACGCGUAGGUAACCUGCCUGGUAGCGGGGGAUAACUAUUGGAAACGAUAGCUAAUACCGCAUAAGAGUAGAUGUUGCAUGACAUUUGCUUAAAAGGUGCAAUUGCAUCACUACCAGAUGGACCUGCGUUGUAUUAGCUAGUUGGUGGGGUAACGGCUCACCAAGGCGACGAUACAUAGCCGACCUGGGAGGGUGAUCGGCCACACUGGGACUGAGACACGGCCCAGACUCCUACGGGAGGCAGCAGUAGGGAAUCUUCGGCAAUGGACGGAAGUCUGACCGAGCAACGCCGCGUGAGUGAAGAAGGUUUUCGGAUCGUAAAGCUCGGUUGUAAGAGAAGAACGAGUGUGAGAGUGGAAAGUUCACACUGUGACGGUAUCUUACCAGAAAGGGACGGCUAACUACGUG
rnacentral:rRNA from 1 species